GAUCCUGGCUCGGGAUGAACGCUAGCUACAGGCUUAACACAUGCAAGUCGAGGGGAAACGACAGAGGAAGCUUGCUUCCUUUGGGCGUCGACCGGCGCACGGGUGAGUAACGCGUAUCCAACCUUCCCGCAAGUAAGGGAUAACCCGUAGAAAUGCGGCCUAAUACCUUAUGUUUUCCUUAGAGGGCAUCUGAUGAGGAACAAAGAUCCGUCGCUUGCGGAUGGGGAUGCGUCUGAUUAGUUAGUCGGCGGGGUAACGG
rnacentral:rRNA from 1 species